UGUACACACGGAUAACAUACCGAAAGGUAUGCUAAUACGGGAUAACAUAAGAAAUUCGCAUGUUUUUCUUAUCAAAGCUCCGGCAGUACAGGAUGGACCCGCGUCUGAUUAGCUAGUUGGUGAGGUAACGGCUCACCAAGGCGACGAUCAGUAGCCGACCUGAGAGGGUGAUCGGCCACAUUGGAACUGAGACACGGUCCAAACUCCUACGGGAGGCAGCAGUGGGGAAUAUUGCACAAUGGGCGAAAGCCUGAUGCAGCAACGCCGCGUGAGCGAUGAAGGCCUUCGGGUCGUAAAGCUCUGUCCUCAAGGAAGAUAAUGACGGUACUUGAGGAGGAAGCCCCGGCUAACUACGUGCCAGCAGCCGCGGUAAUACGUAGGGGGCUAGCGUUAUCCGGAUUUACUGGGCGUAAAGGGUGCGUAGGCGGUCUUUUAAGUCAGGAGUGAAAGGCUACGGCCCAACCGUAAUAAGCUCUUGAAACUGGAGGACUUGAGUGCAGGAGAGGAGAGUGGAAUUCCUAGUGUAGCGGUGAAAUGCGUAGAUAUUAGGAGGAACACCAGUAGCGAAGGCGGCUCUCUGGACUGUAACUGACGCUGAGGCACGAAAGCGUGGGGAGCAAACAGGAUUAGAUACCCUGGUAG
rnacentral:rRNA from 1 species